AAUGCUAAUUUCAGCAAUAUAUAACAAAAUUGAAAUACCAGAGAAGAUUGGCAUGUUCCCAGUACAUGCAUGAUGCAUGAAUUUAUAAAGUUCCCCAUACAUUU